rnacentral:rRNA from 1 species
ACGCACGCUGGCGGCGUGCUUAACCCAUGCAAGUCGCACGGAAAGGCCCUGCUUUUGUGGGGUGCUCGAGUGGCGAACGGGUGAGUAACACGUGAGUAACCUGCCCUUGACUUUGGGAUAACUUCAGGAAACUGGGGCUAAUACCGGAUAGGAGCUCCUGCUGCAUGGUGGGGGUUGGAAAGUUUCGGCGGUUGGGGAUGGACUCGCGGCUUAUCAGCUUGUCGGUGGGGUAGUGGCUUACCAAGGCUUUGACGGGUAGCCGGCCUGAGAGGGUGACCGGCCACAUUGGGACUGAGAUACGGCCCAGACUCCUACGGGAGGCAGCAGUGGGGAAUAUUGCACAAUGGGCGGAAGCCUGAUGCAGCAACGCCGCGUGCGGGAUGACGGCCUUCGGGUUGUAAACCGCUUUCGCCUGUGACGAAGCGUGAGUGACGGUAAUGGGUAAAGAAGCACCGGCUAACUACGUG